GCCUGCUCAGUGUCAGCGCCAUCCUGCCGAAAUAUGUACCAGAUACCUCCAGAGACGGCCCCGGUGUAUCCAAGCCUGGAGGCUAGGUGAUGGACUUAGGUCUGCCCCUAGGGGAGUCUAGUGUUAGCUGAGGAUGAGAGAGGAGCUGUGCCCACUACAUGGAGAACCUAGGCCUCAGUCCCAGAGGAUCAUUAUCGCUGAGAUGUUUACAUCAAGAAAGCCAUCUUGUCACCACCAGCGCCGCCUCCAGCUCAAACCAGACGCUCCAGCCAUCUGGCCUGUCUCUUUGCUGACGCCCGACAAGACUUGAUAAAGGAGUUAUAAACUCCGAAACGCGUUGUCUACUGAACAAUAAAAACUGCUUUUUCACCAAAGUC